rnacentral:rRNA from 1 species
AGGUAGUUGGUGAGGUAACGGCCCACCAAGCCGACGAUCGGUAGCCGACCUGAGAGGGUGAUCGGCCACAUUGGGACUGAGACACGGCCCAAACUCCUAGGGGAGGCAGCAGUGGGAAUAUUGGGCAAUGGAGGAAACUCUGACCCAGCAACGCCGCGUGGAGGAAGAAGGUUUUCGGAUCGUAAACUCCUGUCCUUGGAGACGAGUAGAAGACGGUAUCCAAGGAGGAAGCCCCGGCUAACUACGUGCCAGCAGCCGCGGUAAUACGUAGGGGGCAAGCGUUGUCCGGAAUAAUUGGGCGUAAAGGGCGCGUAGGCGGCUCGGUAAGUCUGGAGUGAAAGUCCUGCUUUUAAGGUGGGAAUUGCUUUGGAUACUGUCGGGCUUGAGUGCAGGAGAGGUUAGUGGAAUUCCCAGUGUAGCGGUGAAAUGCGUAGAGAUUGGGAGGAACACCAGUGGCGAAGGCGACUAACUGGACUGUAACUGACGCUGAGGCGCGAAAGUGUGGGGAGCAAACAGGAUUAGAUACCCUGGUAGUCCACACUGUAAACGAUGAAUGCUAGGUGUAGGGGGUAUCGACCCCUUCUGUGCCGCAGUCAACACAAUAAGCAUUCCGCCUGGGGAGUACGGCCGCAAGGUUGAAACUCAAAGGAAUUGACGGGGGCCCGCACAAGCAGCGGAGCAUGUGGUUUAAUUCGACGCAACGCGAAGAACCUUACCAGGUCUUGACAUCCACUUAAACUUACAGAGAUGUAAGGUGUGCUUGCACAAAGUGAGACAGGUGGUGCAUGGUUGUCGUCAGCUCGUGUCGUGAGAUGUUGGGUUAAGUCCCGCAACGAGCGCAACCCUUAUCUUCAGUUACUAACGCGUGAGGGUGAGGACUCUGAAGAUACUGCCGGGGACAACUCGGAGGAAGGUGGGGACGACGUCAAAUCAUCAUGCCCCUUAUGACCUGGGCUACACACGUGCUACAAUGGCCACGACAGAGAGAAGCGAAAUCGCAAGGUAGAGCGGAACUCAAAAAAGUGGUCCCAGUUCGGAUUGUGGGCUGCAACCCGCCCACAUGAAGUCGGAGUUGCUAGUAAUCGCGGAUCAGCAUGCCGCGGUGAAUACGUUCCCGGGCCUUGUACACACCGCCCGUCACACCAUGGGAGUUGGGAGUGCCCAAAGCCGGUGAGGCAACCGCAAGGAGCCAGCCGUCUAAGGCAAGACCAAUGACUGGGGUGAAGUCGUAACAAGGUAGCCGUAUCGGAAGGUGCGGCUG